UCCCUUCUUAGCAUCGCAUCUGGAGAAUUUCCAGUAUUCUACCAGUCUUGACUAGGGAAGGGAGAGUAAACUAGAAGCAUACCCAUUCCAUUCCUAGCUUGGACAGUGGCUAGCGACUGGAAGAAAAUCUGCUACAAGU